UACGAAGGGGGCUAGCGUUGCUCGGAAUGACUGGGCGUAAAGGGCGCGUAGGCGGAUGGCACAGUCAGAUGUGAAAUUCCCGGGCUUAACCUGGGGGCUGCAUUUGAUACGUGUUGUCUUGAGUUCGGAAGAGGAUCGUGGAAUUCCCAGUGUAGAGGUGAAAUUCGUAGAUAUUGGGAAGAACACCGGUGGCGAAGGCGGCGACCUGGUCCGACACUGACGCUGAGGCGCGAAAGCGUGGGGAGCAAACAGG
rnacentral:rRNA from 1 species